UGCCAGCCGCCGCGGUAAUACGGAGGAUCCAAGCGUUAUCCGGAUUUAUUGGGUUUAAAGGGUGCGUAGGCGGCUCUAUAAGUCAGUAGUGAAAUCUCGAAGCUCAACUUCGAACGUGCUAUUGAAACUGUAGAGCUUGAGUACAGACGAGGCAGGCGGAAUGUGUUGUGUAGCGGUGAAAUGCUUAGAUAUAACACAGAACACCGAUAGCGAAGGCAGCUUGCCAGACUGUAACUGACGCUGAGGCACGAAAGCGUGGGGAGCGAACAGGAUUAGAUA
rnacentral:rRNA from 1 species